rnacentral:rRNA from 1 species
CCUACGGGUGGCAGCAGUGGGGAAUAUUGCACAAUGGGGGAAACCCUGAUGCAGCGAAGCCGCGUGAGGGAAGAAGUAUUUCGGUAUGUAAAGCUCUAUCAGCCGGGAAGAAAAUGACGGUACCUGAUUACGAAGCCCCGGCUCACUACGUGCCAGCAGCCGCGGUCAUACGUGGGGGGCAAGCGUUAUCCGGAUUUACUGGGUGUAAAGGGAGCGUUGACGGGAGCACAAGUCUGGAGGUAAAUGCCCGGGGUUAACCCCCGAACUGCCUUGGAAACUGAGGAGCUAGAGUGCAGGAGAGGUAAGUGGAAUUCGUAGUGUAGCGGUGAAAUGCGUAGAUAUUAGGAGGAACACCAGUGGCGAAGGCGGCAUACUGGACUGUAACUGACGUUGAGGCUCGAAAGCGUGGGGAGCAAACAGGAUUAGAUACCCGAGUAGUC